GAUGAAGAACGUAGCGAAAUGCGAUAAGUAAUGUGAAUUGCAGAAUUCAGUGAAUCAUCGAAUCUUUGAACGCACCUUGCGCUCCUUGGUAUUCCGAGUAGCAUGCCUGUUUGAGUGUCAUGAAAUUCUCAACCUUUUCAGCUUUCUUUGUUGAUCAGGCUUGGAUGUGGGAGUAUGCGGGCUUCUCAGAAGUCGGCUCUCCUGAAAUGCAUUAGCGGGACCUUUGUUGCCUGGCUUUGGUGUGAUAAUUAUCUACGCCAUUGUAGUCAAGCAGCUUAAAAUGAGGUUUCAGCUUCUAACCGUCUCCCCUGAGACAACUUUUUGACAAUUUGACCUCAAAUCAGGUAGGACUACCCGCUGAACUUAAGCAUAUCAAUAAGCGGAGGA
rnacentral:misc_RNA from 1 species